rnacentral:rRNA from 1 species
AUUGAACGCUGGCGGCAUGCCUUACACAUGCAAGUCGAACGGCAGCACGGACUUCGGUCUGGUGGCGAGUGGCGAACGGGUGAGUAAUAUAUCGGAACAUACCUUGUAGUGGGGGAUAACUAUCCGAAAGGAUAGCUAAUACCGCAUACGCUCUAAGGAGGAAAGUGGGGGAUCGCAAGACCUCAUGCUAUAAGAGUGGCCGAUAUCUGAUUAGCUAGUUGGUGAGGUAAAGGCUCACAAAGGCAACGAUCAGUAGCUGGUCUGAGAGGACGACCAGCCACACUGGAACUGAGACACGGUCCAGACUCCUACGGGAGGCAGCAAUGGGUAAUUUUGGACAAGGGGGGCAACCCUGAUCCAGCAAUGCCGCGUGAGUGAAGAAGGCCUUCGUGUUGUAAAGCUCUUUUGUCAGGGAAGAAACGGUUGUGGCUAAUAUCCAUGGCUAAUGACGGUACCUGAAGAAUAAGCACCGGCUAACUACGUGCCAGCAGCCGCCGUAAUAC